CCUACGGGUGGCAGCAGUGAGGAAUAUUGGUCAAUGAACGAGAGUCUGAACCAGCCAAGUAGCGUGAAGGAUGAAUGCCCUAUGGGUUGUAAACUUCUUUUAUAUGGGAAUAAAAUGUUCCACGUGUGGGAUUUUGUAUGUACCAUAUGAAUAAGGAUCGGCUAACUCCUUGCCAGCAGCCGCGGUAAUACGGAGGAUCCGAGCGUUGUCCGGAUUUGUUGGGUUUAACGGGAGCGUAUGUGGAUUGGUAAGUCAGUUGUGAAAGUCUGCGGCUCAACCGUAAAAUCGCUGUUGAAACUGGCAGUCUUGAGUACAGUAGAGGUGGGCGGAAUUCGUGGUGUAGCGGUGAAAUGCUUAGAUAUCACGAAGAACUCCGAUUGCGAAGGCAGCUUACUGGACUGCAACUGACACUGAGGCUCGAAAGUGUGGGUAUCAAACAGGAUUAGAUACCCUUGUAGUC
rnacentral:rRNA from 1 species